rnacentral:rRNA from 1 species
AUGUCGCGAAUAACAAUCUUUGCGGCGGCGGUAGUGUUCAUUUUCACUAGAGGCUCAAUAGCAGCUUUCAGACCAACCAGGCCAGAUGACACAUCAAACUCAGGCGAAGCCCUCGACACUAGAGGAUCAGCAGUAGCGGGUAAUCCGAGCGAGGUACCGACGCCGAUCGGGAUGCCCAACUGCGUCACGUCAUGCGGCAACGUGGAUGUGCCGUACCCGUUCGGCAUUGGCCCGAACGCCAGCUGCUACCUGCCGGGGUUCAACCUCGCAGGUGACACUAGCGGCGGCGGGGCACGGGGUUCAAGCCCGCUGCUACCGGACGCCGACAAAGUCCUCUGGACCCCCGAUGUUGGGUACCCUUUUCUGCAGCCCCACCGCAAUGGUGAUCUAUACAUCGACGUCGACAGCGAUGGUAACGGCAACGGGAUGUUCAGCAGCGGGCUUAGACACGCCGGGGCGCCAUACACGCUGGCGAGUUGCCAGAGGACGGUGAAGAGCGGCCAUGUCAUCGUGGCCAGCAGCACGUGCACCUCGCUCUGCGACUGCGUCGAUACAGAAGAAGACCAUCAGUCGCCACCCACAGAACAAGACGAUGAAAGCGGCAUACCAUACUACCACCCCGACAUCGUCUCGUCCGGUGGUGAAGAUGAAGAUAACGACAACGAAGCAUACAACAUCACCAACAACGGAAUGUCGUCCGACUACGAUGUACUCCCUCCGUUCUUAAAUAUAAGUCUUUUUAGAGAUUCCACUACAAACUAUAUACGGAUAUAUAUAGAUAUAUUUUAG